CUGACAACCAGGAGACCGGAGCAUGAAUGAUCGUGUAAGCAAGUAGUCAGCAUGAGCAAGAGGAAAGUAACAGAAGAUAUCCGGUGCUUUCUUGGUGCAAAAAAGAGAAACGGAGAACAGUGAGCAGGCCGGCCCUAGUAGCAACGGGG